rnacentral:tRNA from 1 species
GGCUUGCUAGCUUAACGGUAGAGCGUCCCCCUCCACGAUUAGGCGUCCUCGGAGGCCUGCUCGUGAAGGGGGAGAUUGGGGUUCAACUCCCCAGCGAGCCGCCA